rnacentral:rRNA from 1 species
UGAUACGUAGGGUGCAAGCGUUAAUCGGAAUUACUGGGCGUAAAGCGUGCGCAGGCGGUUGUGUAAGUCUGAUGUGAAAGCCCCGGGCUUGACCUGGGAACUGCAUUGGAGACUGCACAGCUAGAGUGCGUCAGAGGGGGGUAGAAUUCCGCGUGUAGCAGUGAAGUGCGUAGAGAUGUGGAGGAAUACCGAUGGCGAAGGCAGCCCCCUGGGAUGAUACUGACGCUCAUGCACGAAAGCGUGGGGAGCAAACAGGAUUAGACACCCUGGUAGUCCACGCCCUAAACGAUGUCAAUUAGCUGUUGGGGGUUUGAAUCCUUGGUAGCGUAGCUAACGCGUGAAAUUGACCGCCUGGGGAGUACGGCCGCAAGGUUAAAACUCAAAGGAAUUGACGGGGACCCGCACAAGCGGUGGAUGAUGUGGAUUAAUUCGAUGCAACGCGAAGAACCUUACCUGCUCUUGACAUGUCAGGAAGCUUCCAGAGAUGGGAGUGUGCCCGAAAGGGAGCCUGAACACAGGUGCUGCAUGGCUGUCGUCAGCUCGUGUCGUGAGAUGUUGGGUUAAGUCCCGCAACGAGCGCAACCCUUGUCAUUAGUUGCCAUCAUUAAGUUGGGCACUCUAAUGAGACUGCCGGUGACAAACCGGAGGAAGGUGGGGAUGACGUCAAGUCCUCAUGGCCCUUAUGAGCAGGGCUUCACACGUCAUACAAUGGUCGGUACAGAGGGUCGCGAAGCCGCGAGGUGGAGCCAAUCUCACAAAGCCGAUCGUAGUCCGGAUCGCACUCUGCAACUCGAGUGCGUGAAGUCGGAAUCGCUAGUAAUCGCAGAUCAGCAUGCUGCGGUGAAUACGUUCCCGGGUCUUGUACACACCGCCCGUCACACCAUGGGAGUGGGGGAUACCAGAAGUGGGUAGGCUAACCGUA